rnacentral:rRNA from 1 species
AUGAGGACUCCCUCACUGUACACUGCCAUCUCAAUGUCACCAAGGAGGCUGCUUGCACUAGUUCUAGCACCAUCGGAUGCCGGAGUCACGGUCGUUGUGCCUCCACCCUACAUCGGUUUGCACCUUGAGCAGUUGUUGGUGAGUGGGAAAAGGUCCGAUGUGAGGUUCCUGGUUGAGGGCUGCGACAUCCGCGCUCACGGGCUCGUAAUCGCGGCUCGAUCACCGAUCCUAUACCAAGUGGUUGAAGCGGCGGCGGCUAAGGAGGACGACCAUCAUAUCGUAUGGGUCAACGACAUGAAGGCAGCAGUUUUCAGGUCUGUUCUCCACUUCAUCUACACCGACAAGCUACCCUCUACAGAUAACCCAGUCCUUCCUGUUGAAGACAUGCUUGCGGCAGCCUGCCAAUUCCGUCUUGAGAGGUUUAAGAUUGUGUGCGAGAACUUUUUGGCUGACCACAUCUCGAAUAAGAAUGCAUUGUACACGUUGAAACUGGCGCACCGUCACCACUGCUUGGAGCAAGAAAAAUACUGCGUCAAGUUCAUCUCGAGAUGA